CGAACGGGUGCGGAACACGUGAGCAACCUGCCCCGGAGACCGGGAUAACAGCGGGAAACUGCUGCUAAUACCGGAUGUCCCCACCGGUCCCGCAUGGGACUGUGAGGAAAGGAUUCCGCUUCGGGAGGGGCUCGCGGCCUAUCAGCUUGUUGGUGAGGUAACGGCUCACCAAGGCGACGACGGGUAGCUGGUCUGAGAGGAUGGCCAGCCACACGGGCACUGAGACACGGGCCCG
rnacentral:rRNA from 1 species